rnacentral:snoRNA from 1 species
CUAUGGGUUUGGCUUUAUGGUAGGCCUGGCCUUGGGCCUCUCAUAAUGUCCCAUAUCAGGAAAAAAAAAAAAAAAGCAUAGUCCCAAAGGUGGCCUUGCUGCCUAGCCCAUAGUCCUCUGGCACUGGAUCGGGUUGCACAGUG